rnacentral:rRNA from 1 species
UCGAGGGGCAGCGGGGUUGUAGCAAUACAACUGCCGGCGACCGGCGCACGGGUGAGUAACACGUAUGUAACCUGCCCUCUGCAGGGGGAUAAGCGGAAGAAAUUCCGUCUAAUACCGCAUAAUACAAUUUGGAGUCAUCUCCGGGUUGUCAAAGGAGUGAUCCGGCAGAGGAUGGACAUGCGGCGCAUUAGCUAGUCGGCGGGGUAACGGCCCACCGAGGCUACGAUGCGUAGGGGUUCUGAGAGGAAGGUCCCCCACACUGGUACUGAGACACGGACCAGACUCCUACGGGAGGCAGCAGUGAGGAAUAUUGGUCAAUGGGCGGAAGCCUGAACCAGCCAAGUCGCGUGAGGGAAGACGGUCCUAUGGAUUGUAAACCUCUUUUGCAGGGGAGCAAGGCGCGGUACGUGUACCGCGAAGGAGAGUACCCUGAGAAAAAGCAUCGGCUAACUCCGUGCCAGCAGCCGCGGUAAUACGGAGGAUGCGAGCGUUAUCCGGAUUUAUUGGGUUUAAAGGGUGCGCAGGCGGACUGUUAAGUCAGCGGUAAAAUGUCGGUGCUCAACACCGGCCGGCCGUUGAAACUGGCAGCCUUGAGUGAGCGAGAAGUAUGCGGAAUGCGUGGUGUAGCGGUGAAAUGCAUAGAUUUCUUGGAAAACUCCGAUUGCGAAGGCAGCAUACCGGCGCUCAA